AAAUAACAACACAAAACAACAACAGCAAGGGUUAGCAAACAAUUGGAUUUGUUUUGUUUUUGUUUUUCCUUUUUCUUUUUGGAUUUUUUUUUU
rnacentral:ribozyme from 1 species